rnacentral:rRNA from 1 species
UGGGGAAUUUUGGACAAUGGGCGCAAGCCUGAUCCAGCCAUGCCGCGUGUCUGAAGAAGGCCUUCGGGUUGUAAAGGACUUUUGUCAGGGAAGAAAAGGCUGUUGCUAAUACCGACAGCUGAUGACGGUACCUGAAGAAUAAGCACCGGCUAACUACGUGCCAGCAGCCGCGGUAAUACGUAGGGUGCGAGCGUUAAUCGGAAUUACUGAGCGUAAAGCGAGCGCAGACAGUUACUUAAGCAGGAUGUGAAAUCCCCGGGCUCAACCUGGGAACUGCGUUCUGAACUGGGUGACUAGAGUGUGUCAGAGGGAGGUAGAAUUCCACGUGUAGCAGUGAAAUGCGUAGAGAUGUGGAGGAAUACCGAUGGCGAAGGCAGCCUCCUGGGAUAACACUGACGUUCAUGCUCGAAAGCGUGGGUAGCAAACAGGAUUAGAUACCCUGGUAGUCCACGCCCUAAACGAUGUCAAUUAGCUGUUGGGCAACUUGAUUGCUUAGUAGCGUAGCUAACGCGUGAAAUUGACCGCCUGGGGAGUACGGUCGCAAGAUUA